rnacentral:tRNA from 2 species
GGCUCGGUAGCUUAAUUGGUAAAGAGCUCGUCUAGUAUACAAGAGUCCUGGGUUCAAAUCCCAGUUGAGCAC